rnacentral:rRNA from 1 species
UGGGUAACCUGCCUCGAUGACCGGGACAACCCGAGGAAACCCGGGCUAAUACCGGAUGUGCUCCUUCACAUCAGUGAAGACAGGAAAGGAAGCUUCGGCCUCCGCAUCGAGAUGGGCCCGCGGCCCAUUAGCCUGUUGGUGAGGUAACGGCUCACCAAGGCUGCGAUGGGUAGCUGGUCUGAGAGGACGAUCAGCCACACUGGGACUGAGACACGGCCCAGACCUCUACGGGAGG